CCUACGGGUGGCAGCAGUCGAGAAUCAUUCACAAUGGGGGAAACCCUGAUGGUGCGACGCCGCGUGGGGGAAUGAAGGUCUUCGUAUUGUAAACCCCUUUCAUGUGGGAGCAAAUUAAAAAGUUAGUACCACAAGAGGAAGAGACGGCUAACUCCGGGCCACCAGCAGCGUUAAUACAGAGGUCUCAAGCGUUGUUCGGAAUCACUGGUCGUAAAGCGUGCGUAGGCUGUUUCGUAAGUCGGGUGUGAAAGGCGCGGGCUCAACCCGCGGACGGCACAUGAUACUGGGAGACUAGAGUAAUGGAGGGGGAAGCGGAAUUCUCGGUGUAGCAGUGAAAUGCGUAGAUAUCGAGAGGAACACUGGUGGCGAAGGCGGGUUCCUGGACAUUAACUGACGCUGAGGCACGAAGGCCAGGGGAGCGAAAGGGAUUAGAUACCCUUGUAGUC
rnacentral:rRNA from 1 species